GGAGAAAACUCUAGAAAUUGAAUACAUAAGAGCUGUAGCUCCACGCAAGGAAGAAGAUCCUUCAUUACAUGAUGAUUGGGUCAGUGCAGUUGAUGGUUCAAGUCGGUUUAUUUUGACUGGUUGCUACGAUGGGUUAGGAAGGAUAUGGGAAUCUGCUAGGGUUUGUACGCAUGAUUUGGAAGGACACAAUGAUGCCGUUAC